rnacentral:rRNA from 1 species
AAAGGAAUAGACGGGGGCCCGCACAAGCGGUGGAGUAUGUGGUUUAAUUCGACGCUACGCGAAGAACCUUACCGGGGCUUGACAUCCCGUGCUAUCUGUGGAAACACAGAGUUCCCGUUUGGGACGCGGAGACAGGUGGUGCAUGGCUGUCGUCAGCUCGUGUCGUGAGAUGUUGGGUUAAGUCCCGCAACGAGCGCAACCCUUGUCCUUAGUUGCCAGCGCGUAAUGGUGGGCACUCUAAGGAGACUGCCGGUGACAAACCGGAGGAAGGUGGGGAUGACGUCAAGUCAUCAUGCCCCUUAUGUUCCGGGCUACACACGUACUACAAUGGUCUGUACAGAGGGUCGCGAAGCCGUGAGGUGGAGCCAAUCCCAGAAAGCAGAUCUCAGUUCGGAUUGCAGGCUGAAACUCGCCUGCAUGAAGUUGGAAUCGCUAGUAAUCGCAGGUCAGCAUACUGCGGUGAAUACGUUCCCGGGCCUUGUACACACCGCCCGU